rnacentral:misc_RNA from 1 species
CAACGAGAAGACGACGUUCGCCGACGCCUUCGCGAUGGCCGAUCAGGUGCUCUAUUCGGGCGUCGCCUGCAUCACCGACCUGAUGGUGAAGGAAGGCCUCAUCAACCUCGACUUCGCCGACGUCCGCGCCGUGNNNNNNNCGAUGAUGGGCACCGGCGAAGCCACCGGCGAGAAGCGUGCGCUGACCGCGGCGGAAGCUG